GGAGCCAUCUGGGAAAGGGGAGUGGAAACUGAGAUGCUGGCACUUUGGGCCCUGCCAAUGAGCUAAAGCAAUGUAUAAUUAAGGAAUUGCACAGGCUUCCUUCCCCAGGACAAAGCAGUGCACGGUCUUCUUGGAUUACUGUCCUCUUACAGCAAUACUUACCUGUGGAUAAUAGAUGAUAUUAUUGGAAGGGCACACACGCUUGCUGCCAGCCACGUUCUUCUUGGUGGGCUGCCCACUUCUGCUGCAGAACUGAUGAGCAUCAUGCCAGCGGAGAAGAGCUUGAGCCUAGGAACACAAAGAUGGACCUGGUUUCAUUUGGAGAGAAUGCGGGGCUCAUCUUUAACAGCACUGGGCCUAGUGUCUGGAACAACUCACAGGGAAAUGCCAAUCUCUUUACAGCUCAUGUAAUUUAAAUGGUUACUGUUUAAAUUUCAGGACAAGUAAACUAACUGAACAUAUUCCUCUAGCAUCAGAAAUCUGAAUAAAAGCAUAUUUUAAAAUGUAUUAUUAUUUAAAACAUAUGAAGUAUAUGAGGUAAUAAAAUGAACACCCAUGUAUUCACUAACCAGCUUAAAAAUAAAACAUUCCCAGUAUAGUUGAACACCCCAAAAUCUUCUUCUCCCUGGUAAAGUUAGAAUUUUUUGCAACUAAAAAAAUGUUUAGAGGUUUCUUUUUAAAUUAAAUGCACAAUCAAAAUACUUUAGCAAGUGAAAUCUAAAGCUGUGAGGGCAAGUCAUUAAAGCAAUGUAAAGUAAUUUCUCUUAGGGAAAACAUGAUACUGUAUAUGUCAUGCUAUGUGGGUCAUUAAAAAUGUUUAUGAGGCUGA
rnacentral:antisense_RNA from 1 species